GUGCCAGCAGCCGCGGUAAUACGUAGGGUGCAAGCGUUAUCCGGAAUUAUUGGGCGUAAAGAGCUCGUAGGCGGUUUGUCGCGUCUGCUGUGAAAACUGGAGGCUCAACCUCCAGCUUGCAGUGGGUACGGGCAGACUAGAGUGCGGUAGGGGAGAUUGGAAUUCCUGGUGUAGCGGUGGAAUGCGCAGAUAUCAGGAGGAACACCAAUGGCGAAGGCAGAUCUCUGGGCCGUAACUGACGCUGAGGAGCGAAAGCAUGGGGAGCGAACAGGAUUAGAUACCCUGGUAGUCCAUGCCGUAAACGUUGGGAACUAGAUGUAGGGACCAUUCCACGGUUUCUGUGUCGCAGCUAACGCAUUAAGUUCCCCGCCUGGGGAGUACGGCCGCAAGGCUAAAACUCAAAGGAAUUGACGG
rnacentral:rRNA from 1 species